ensembl:snRNA U6 U6 spliceosomal RNA
GUGCUGGCUUUGGUGGCACGAAUAGUAAACUGGGCACCAUACAGAGAAGGUUCGCAUGGCCCCUGCGUAAGGAUAGUGCGCAAAACAGUCCCAUCUAGAA